rnacentral:rRNA from 1 species
AGCCAUUAGAUGAUAUUAGAUGGUUUAACCUGCCCAAUGUUAUUUUUAAUAAAUGGCCGCGGUACCCUGACCGUGCUAAGGUAGCGUAAUCAAUUGACUUUUAAAUGAAGUCAGGAAUGAAUGGAAGAACUGGGUUUAGCUGUCUCCACAUUAAUCUAUUGAAUUUACUUUCUAAGUGAAAAAGCUUAGAAAAGAAAAGGGACGAGAAGACCCUUAGAAUUUUUUUAAAAGAAUAUUUAUUUCUACAAUUUUAUUGGGGCGAUAAAGAAAUAAUUAUAACUUUCUUAUUUUACAAGCCGAUUUUAUUAAGCGAGAAUAAAUUACCUGAGGGAUAACAGCAUAAUUCUAAAAUUGAGUUUGUGACCUCGAUGUUGGACUAGGAAACUAACAGGCUAGCCGUUUGUUAAGUUAGGUUCUGUUCGAACUUUUAUUCCUA